rnacentral:rRNA from 1 species
AGCGUAGGCGGACUUGUAAGUCAGUGGUGAAAUCUUUGGGCUUAACCCAGAAACUGCCAUUGAUACUGCAGGUCUAGAGUACAGUUGCCGUUGGCGGAAUAUGACAUGUAGUGGUGAAAUACUUAGAUAUGUCAUAGAACACCGAUUGCGAAGGCAGCUAACGAAGCUGUAACUGACGCUGAGGCUCGAAAGUGCGGGGAUCAAACA